AAGGAGUCAACAAAAUCGGCUUGGUGUGCUACAGUCAAUUGGGCCGCGGGGUUCUAUGGGAGUGCCCUCUCUU
rnacentral:lncRNA from 1 species